AGAGUUUGAUCAUGGCUCAGAACGAACGCUGGCGGCGUGGAUAAGACAUGCAGGUCGGACGAGAUUUUCCGUUGUAGCAAUACGAUGGAAAGUCUAGUGGCGAACGGGUGCUUAACACGUGGGCAACCUGCCGAGAAGUGGGGGAUAGCUCGCCGAAAGGCGAAUUAAUACCGCAUGUGAUCGGGAGAGACAUCUCUUCGAAAUUAAAGUCGGGGCAACCUGACGCUUCUUGUGGGGCCCGCGGCCUAUCAGCUAGUUGGUGAGGUAACGGCUCACCAAGGCUUUGACGGGUAGCUGGUCUGAGAGGACGACCAGCCACACUGGGACUGAGACACGGCCCAGACACCUACGGGUGGCAGCAGUCGAGAAUUUUUGACAAUGGGGGAAACCCUGAUCGAGCGACGCCGCGUGGAGGAUGAAGGUCUUCGGAUUGUAAACUCCUGUCAUUGGGGAACAAUGCGUGACGGUUAACUGCCGUCGCGUUGAUAGUACCCGAAGAGGAAGAGACGGCUAACUCUGUGCCAGCAGCCGCGGUAAUACAGAGGUCUCAAGCGUUGUUCGGAUUCAUUGGGCGUAAAGGGUGCGUAGGCGGCGCGGUAAGUCGGGUGUGAAAUCUCGGAGCUUAACUCCGAAACUGCAUUCGAUACUGCCGUGCUCGAGGACUGGAGAGGAGACUGGAAUUUACGGUGUAGCGGUGAAAUGCGUAGAUAUCGUAAGGAAGACCAGUGGCGAAGGCGGGUCUCUGGACAGUUCCUGACGCUGAGGCACGAAGGUCAGGGGAGCAAACGGGAUUAGAUACCCCGGUAGUCCUGACAGUAAACGGUGCACGUUUGGUGUGGGAGGAUUCGACCCCUUCUGCGCCGGAGCUAACGCGUUAAACGUGCCGCCUGGGGAGUACGGUCGCAAGAUUAAAACUCAAGAAUUGACGGGGGCCCGCACAGCGGUGGAGUAUGUGGCUCAUUUCGAUGCAACGCGAAG
rnacentral:rRNA from 1 species